GGAGCACCGGGCUGGGUGCUGUUGAGAAUGCCUCUGUGCUUAGGGAGAGCUUGAGCAUCUUGGCUGAAGGGCUCUGCUUAGAAACGGCUCUGGGAAACCGUUCCUCCCCCUGGAUGUAGUCACAGCGUGGUAAAUUCCAUCUGAAAAAUAAAAGCGGAGCUCUUUGCUGAGUCAUAGAAGCUUCAGAGCUGAUUUGCACAAGCCCGGCUGAGCCUGGACAACCUGAGAAAGAUUGACACGGUCAAGAUGAGAAAUGGGUGAGAAGAGCAGAAGCUGUGAGGGUUUGAGAAUGGCGACCCUAAAGCAGAGUGUGCUGGCUUCCAAUACUGUUCAGACAACCUUGGGAGACCUCACACUUUGGAGACCUAUCUGAAAACAUCUGAGUAGCUGUGGUAUGCCAAGGAGGAAGCUCUAAGGAAGGAAGCAAGAGUAAUUUUUCAGCUCUCUGUAUUUUGGAGCUAUCCGCUCUAAGGUGAGUGAGAAAAUGUAGCGGAGCGACAGCCGAGGCGACACCUGCCAGGAGUUUGGUGUGGACACCCCAGCCUAGACGGAGCAUCUGCCCCUGGGUGCCCCUUUGGCCACCCAGCCUCACCAUGUCAAAGAAGGGCGCAGGCAGCCGGGCCAAGGGGGACAAGGUGGAGGCUCUCGCUGCACUGCAGGCCGCCAAUGAGGAGCUGCGAGCCAAGCUCACGGACAUCCAGAUCGAGCUGCAGCAGGAGAAGAGCAAGGUCAGCAGAGUGGAGCGGGAGAAGAGCCAAGAGCUGAGGCAGGUGCGUGAACACGAGCAGCGCAAGCACGCAGUCCUGGUCACCGAGCUCAAGACCAAGCUGCACGAGGAGAAGAUGAAGGAGCUGCAGGCUGUGCGUGAGGCCCUGCUGCGGCAGCAUGAAGCCGAGCUUCUGAGAGUCAUCAAGAUCAAGGACAAUGAGAACCAGCGGCUGCAGGCACUGCUCAACACAGUGCGUGAUGGCGCACCUGAAAAGGUCAAGACAGUGCUCCUGUGUGAAGCCAAGGAGGAGGCCAAGAAGGGGUUCGAGGUGGAGAAGGUCAAAAUGCAGCAAGAGAUCUCAGAGCUCAAGGGGGCCAAGAAGCAGGUGGAGGAGGCGCUGACACUGGUGAUCCAGGCAGACAAGAUCAAGGCUGCGGAGAUCAGGAGCGUGUACCACCUGCACCAGGAGGAGAUCAUCUGCAUCAAGAAGGAAUGCGAGCGAGAGAUCCGCAGGCUGAUGGAGGAGAUAAAAUUUAAGGACAGAGCAGUCUUCGUGCUGGAGAGAGAGUUAGGGGUUCAAGCCGGGCAUGCCCAGAAACUGCAGCUCCAGAAAGAGGCUCUAGAUGAGCAGCUUUCCCAGGCCAGAGAGGCUGAGCGGCACCCAGGCAGCCCCAGACGGGAACUUCCUUAUGCAAGCGGUGCAGGAGAUGCUUCAGACCACUCAGGAAGCCCUGAACAGCAGUUGGAUGAAAAAGAUGCCCGGCGCUUCCAACUUAAAAUUGCAGAGUUAAGUGCUAUCAUUCGAAAACUGGAGGACCGCAAUGCCUUGCUGUCAGAAGAAAGGAAUGAGCUGUUAAAGCGGUUAAGAGAAGCUGAAAGUCAGUACAAGCCAUUACUGGAUAAAAACAAACGCCUUACUCGGAAAAAUGAAGAUUUGACUCACACAUUACGGAGAAUAGAAAGCAAGUUGAAAUUUCUCACCCAGGAGAACAUGGAAAUGGCACAGCGGGAUGACCCCAGCUCUACCGUCCAGCCAGACCACGUUCCUGCCACUUGUGACACAGCCCACUUGGUGUUUCAGAGGCAGAGAGCCGGGAUCAUCCGGAGACCCAGCUCCCUAAACGACCUUGAUCAAAGUCAGGAUGAGAGGGAGGUGGACUUCCUGAAGCUUCAAAUUGUAGAGCAACAGAGCCUCAUUGAUGAGCUCUCGAAGACCCUUGAAACUGCCGGCUACGUAAAGAGUGUGUUAGAGCGUGAUAAGCUUUUAAGGUAUCGGAAACAAAGAAAGAAAAUGGCGAAGCUCCCCAAGAAGCCGGUUGUUGUGGAGACUUUCUUUGGAUAUGAUGAAGAUGGUUCUUCCGAUGGCUCUUCCAUCUCUUAUCAAACUGACAGGACAGACCAGACUCCUUGCACCCCGGAUGAUGACUUGGAGGAGGGCCUGGCCAAGGAGGAGACGGAGCUGCGGUUCCGCCAGCUGACCAUGGAGUACCAGGCGCUGCAGCGAGCCUAUGCCCUGCUGCAGGAGCAGGUUGGAGGAACACUGGAUGCAGAGCGAGAAGUUAAGACCCGUGAGCAGCUGCAAGCAGAGGUGCAGAGGGCACAGACACGGGUAGAAGACCUGGAGAAGGCACUGGCAGAGCAGGGGCAGGAUAUGAAGUGGAUUGAAGAGAAGCAAGCAUUGUAUCGAAGAAAUCAAGAGCUUGUAGAAAAGAUAAAACAAAUGGAGAUGGAGGAGGCCCGGCUGAAGCACGAUGUCCAGGAUGCAAAGGAUCAGAAUGAGUUGCUGGAGUUCAGGAUCCUGGAGCUCGAGGAGAGGGAGAGGAAGUCGCCUGCCAUCAACUUCCAUCACACACCCUUCGUGGAUGGGAAGAGCCCCCUCCAAGUGUACUGCGAGGCUGAAGGCGUGACGGACAUCCUGGUUUCGGAGCUGAUGAAGAAGCUGGACAUCCUGGGGGAUAACGCCGUAAGUAAUCUGACCAAUGAAGAGCAAGUGGUUGUCAUACAAGCCAGGACAGUCUUGACCUUGGCAGAGAAGUGGCUCCAGCGGAUUGAAGAGACUGAGUCUGCACUGCAUCGGAAGAUGCUGGAUCUGGAGAGUGAGAAGGAUCUGUUCAGUAAACAGAAGGGCUACCUGGAUGAGGAGCUGGACUAUAGGAAGCAGGCCUUGGACCAAGCCCACAAGCACAUCCUAGAGCUGGAAGCCAUGCUGUACGAUGCCCUGCAGCAAGAGGCUGGGGCCAAAGUGGCAGAGCUGCUGUCAGAAGAGGAGCGUGAGAAGCUCAAGGUGGCUGUGGAGCAGUGGAAGCGCCAGGUCAUGAGUGAGCUGCGGGAGCGGGAUGCACAGAUCCUGCGGGAGCGCAUGGAACUGCUGCAGCUAGCACAGCAGAGAAUUAAAGAGUUAGAAGAAAGAAUAGAAGCUCAGAAGAGACAAAUUAAAGAACUAGAAGAAAAGCUUUCAUUCUCUGGUCAUAGCUGGUCUUGGCACCCCGAUGUGUCUCCCGUGGAGUCAUACCCCUGUCCUCUAGUAGGACCAGAGAGCAGAGGAUGCUGGCGACAAAGUGGGACAUUGCACCUCAUCUCUGAAGACCCCAAGGGGUUUGAUCACUGUGCAGCCAUCCUGUGCAGGAUGAGGGGGAAGCAGAGGUUUGAGUGGGGGCCUCUGUCCACUCGGGAUGAGCCAGAAUCAGAACUAGCUUUGCUGGCUGGGGCUUCUCUGAGAGAGGCCUGGCCUUGGCUGCUGGCCCCUUGGGUCUCUCUUCUCGUAAGGCAGCCUCCAUCCCAGUCAUGGGGAUGUGUGAUGUUCCCUGCCGAGCAGGGGUAAGAGCCGCUCCGGUGCAGGAGCAAGCCCUCCUCCCGGUUACCAUAGUAACUGUCCAUGUCCUCUGAGGAAGAGCUUCAGAAAUGACACAGGCUCAUUCCCAAUGACAAAAUGAAGACUGUGACUUCAGUGGCAACCUCCAUUCAGGGGAACCGGGCGGGUUCAUGGGGACAGCCCAAGGAGGGUUCUCUGUGACACCCUCUGUGCACAGUGAUGCCGAGACUCUCUCACCCGGGGCCCGAGCACUCACUGGUGGACAAAUAUCACACCCACCCUUGUUCUGUUACACUGUCCUCUCCAUGGGGCCAGAUGGGAGUUUUGGCUACUGCUGACCUCUUCACCCCACCUCAAGACAUGAAGGCCAAAAUCUGGCCCCAAACCACUGGCCAGGAGCACAGUGGGACCAGAGGAGGGAUGAGGAGUGUGGUAAGGUGACAUGAGAUGAGGCUGCAGAGCCACCAGAAAGAAGCCUGAUGCCAGAGGACAUGGAUGUGACCACACAGACCCAGAGACCAGAUGCCUUGGGCACCCAGUACUACCCAGCCUGGAAGCUGUUCAGCAGGCCAGCUGGGCCUGGGGGCUGCAGAUGGCCAGGGGUGCCCAAAGAUGGCCCCGUCCAGAGCCUUUGCACACAAGGAGCAGGGCCCGGGUGAGGCUACACAAGUGCUUGUGGUUCUACAGAUGCAAGAAGGGAGCCUGGAGUCCAGUGGCCCACAGAGAGAAAACAGUGCGUCAAUGAAGGCAGUGUUAAGUGUGACUUCCAUUCCUGCUGGAUGAUUCAGUCCACAACCCAGGAAAGUCUUCCUGCAUUUGGAUGAGCCUGACUCCAUGGCUGAAGGGUUCUUCUGUCGUCAUCAUCACAUCCUUGGUGGUCUAAGAUUGUUGCCCUCAGUGGCUCAGUUAGAAGAGACAUGUGCAUGUGCACAUGUGUUCAUGGAUGUCCUCACUCAACCAGAGAACAAAACAACAACAACAAAUGAGCCCAUUUGAGGCACCUAGAAGUUGAUGCACCAGGUGUGCCAUAUGCAUCCAAGUGUGAGUGUAACCUGUAGCAUUGCAUUUUUAAAAAAACCAGUAGCUGGAGAGAGGAACAAUUGUGUUGUCUGGAAGUAUUAAGCUCAUUUUAUAUUUGUGCCAGAAGAAAUGUUCCACUCCGGUACUGAUGUGGUGGACCAGGCAUGGUUCCCUAGGUUAAAAUCUGGGGAAUGCUUAUAGGAUCAGACAGAUAUGCUUUUUCUUUGGUGGGUGCAGAAUUUCUGCUGGGAAAUGCACUAUUAAUCACACUUAUCCAUGAAGGACCUAUCCUUUCUUUUGUCAUUUGAACCACAGUCCCUGAUUCACUUGGACAAGGCACUGGUCCAGUUCAUCACCUCCCUAGUCAAGCCUGAUGUUGAGAUUUGUCUCAAAUCUGAAAUCUUGUAUAUUCCUCCGUGCAUAGUUUUGUCUGGUUUUAAUGGCUGCAUCCUCUUGGAAGAUUUAUUGUACUCAGAACUAAAUGGCAAACGAUAACAUGCAUUAAUAAGCGCUGCCACAGAGCUAUAAAGGAACCAUUAGGUUAAAGUCUGAUGGACUCUGCAACACAGACAUCCAGGAAACAUGUUGAAACUCCAUGUGGUCCCCUGCCAGCCUGCAUCCCCUGGGGAAAGCUCCUGGCUGGGCUCCUGUGUGAACUUGUAAGAGAAAAUCAGCCGAUUAGGAUCUAAAGAUGUGCUUUUGAGACUCACCCAAAUUCACAUCCCUCUGGUUUAGUUGGAUUAUCGUGAUUUUGCAUGUUGUAUGUGUCAGGAGUACUUCAUAUACCUUCCCAUCCACUCCAGACACACUAAAUCGCAGUUCUGUAAUGUAAAAAAAAGACAAACUAUACAGGAAAGAAAAGCAUGUAAAUAUGUACCAAUGCUUAUGAAGCUGUUAUUGUUCAUAUGUAAAAAGUUUGUACAUAGGAAAGGAAAAUGGCUCUAUGAAUGUUUUAAAUAAUGUCCUGUGAUCCAAACUGCAUUUAUACCCCUGCCACAUUCCUGAAAGCACACAUUUAGUUGGAAUGACAUUCCUCUUUGUAGGUAUCAUUGUUUUCAUUCAUAUGUCAUGGCACCUUCUUUUCAUCUCAUUACAAGAUCAGAACUGGGCUUUGACAAAAAAAAAAAAAAACAGCAAAUAUUAGUAUGUAUCACUCAUUCUUGCUGAC